CCUACGGGUGGCAGCAGUGAGGAAUAUUGGUCAAUGGACGAGAGUCUGAACCAGCCAAGUAGCGUGAAGGAUGACUGCCCUAUGGGUUGUAAACUUCUUUUAUAAAGGAAUAAAACGCGGCACGUGUGCCUUUUUGCAUGUACUUUAUGAAUAAGGAUCGGCUAACUCCGUGCCAGCAGCCGCGGUACUACGGAGGAUCCGAGCGUUAUCCGGAUUUAUUGGGUUUAAAGGGAGCGUAGAUGGGUUGUUAAGUCAGUUGUGAAAGUUUGCGGCUAAACCGUAAAAUUGCAAUUGAUACUGGCAGUCGUGAGUACAGUUGAGGUAGGCGGAAUUCGUGGUGUAGCGGUGAAAUGCUUAGAUAUCACGAAGAACCCCGAUUGCGAAGGCAGCUUACUAAACUGUGACUGACACUGAUGCACGAAAGUGUGGGUAUCGAACAGGAUUAGAUACCCUGGUAGUC
rnacentral:rRNA from 1 species